UAGCUAAGAUUACGGUUUAAAUGUCAAAAACUGGAUUUGUAUUCUGGCGGCACAUUUUAGUUGACGCCUAAUUUUAAAUUUAGGAAUGACGUUUCUAAAUUACUCAAUUUAGUGCAAUUUAGGUUUAGGCGACAAAAACUACUACUAACAAUAAAAUUAAGCAAAUACUAACAAUAAAUGGAUCUUGUUAUCUUAAAUAAACAAUAAUAAAUAAAUAAAAUAAAAAUAAAAAGCUAUUCUAGCGAACAUUAAUUUGACGUUAAACUCUUAUUCUAAAUUAAUUUUAUACGGUUUUCUAAACUUGCCGGAUAAAAUUAAACUUCUUAAAAUUAAGUACAUGAAUCAGUUUUUCGGAACUUUUUGGGCGCUUUUUAUGAAUUCCGGCCACUGUGAUUUCACCUGCAGAUCAUUCGGAAGACCUUGCCGCUCUCAAAAUAGCUUAAAUAGCGAUAAAGAAUCUUCUAAAUAUACGAAUAGAAGGAUCAACGAGAAAUAUUUGUUUUACGUCGUUUACCGUCGAAGACCAGUAAAAGAAAGAAGACGGCGAGGAGGCCCCAUCGAAACAAAAGACUCUUAGCUGGUAUGAUGAUGUCUCUGGCAUGAGUAUCAUCUUCAAAGUUAAUCCAAACAUUUAUCUAAGAGGACAAUCUAAUUGUGUCAAUCUUAAACACUACUUUCAACUGGACCGUGUGGUGGAUGCUUGAAACAAUGCAGUGCCAGUGAUAUUAACGAUUAAUGUGUAACAUCAACACAUACCUAGCUCUGUGUGUGUCAAAACUGUAAUGACUCCUACCAGGCGCGCAGUGCAGGCUGCACUGCCUGCUUCUUCUUAUCCUUUUGACCUGAAGGACUUAAAAUUACUACAAAAGUAAUGUACCUAUCUAUGGAAUGGAACUACAGAAGUACACUGAAGGAAGGCCUCCACAGCAAGGUGAUAAAUCUUUGACUUUGACAUUUGCAAGUAGUCCUAAUAGCCACUGCAUCCUGAAUUGUAAUUAUGAGCCACCAAUAACAAAAAAGACGUCUGUGACAUGAAUCCCUAAUGUUCUCUCAGAUGGUGACGAAUAAAGAAAGAAGAACCCAGGAGUAUAAAAAAAUACUUACAUACAUACCUACCAUUGUGGUGCUGUACAUACAUACAUAGUCACACCACCAUAACAGGAUGGACUGAGCCGAGCACUACCAAGAAGACCAACUGCAGCCUCUUGUGAUGGACAUAAUGACCAGACUGGUGACAGAUAAGC